CUACAGCUGCAGAGGACGUAUAAAAGGGACAAAUUCAUUCACAGAAGAAAGUGAUUAUGUCAUCAUUCAGGAAACUGUUUCCAACAGGAUCGAUGUGAAACUGCAGCACAGCUGGUCUCAGAUAUUCACUGGUGAGACAAUCACUCUCAGAUGUGAGAUUCAGGGAGGUGAAGGAAAGGUGUGGAAAUAUGAAUGGACAGCA